GUGGAUUAGAUACCCUGGUAGUCCACGCCGUAAACGUUGGGCACUAGGUGUGGGACCCUGUCAACGGGUUCUGUGCCGCAGCUAACGCAUUAAGUGCCCCGCCUGGGGAGUACGGCCGCAAGGCUAAAACUCAAAGGAAUUGACGGGGGCCCGCACAAGCGGCGGAGCAUGUUGCUUAAUUCGAGGCAACGCGAAGAACCUUACCUGGGCUUGACAUGUAGGGAAAAGCACUAGAGAUAGUGUGUCCUUCGGGGCCUUACACAGGUGGUGCAUGGUCGUCGACAGCU
rnacentral:rRNA from 1 species